UACGUAGGGGGCAAGCGUUGUCCGGAUUCAUUGGGCGUAAAGAGCGUGUAGGCGGCCAGGUAGGUCGGUUGUGAAAACUGGAGGCUCAACCUUCAGAGGUCGACCGAAACCAUCUGGCUAGAGUCCGGGAGAGGAGAGUGGAAUUCCUGGUGUAGCGGUGAAAUGACGCAGAUAUCAGGAAGAACACCCGUGGCGAAAGCGGCUCUCUGGAACGGUACUGACGCUGAGACGCGAAAGCGUGGGGAGCGAACAGG
rnacentral:rRNA from 1 species